UGGUCACUGUCUCAGCCCGCCGCAGCUCAAGAGCUUUUUCUUUCUUUCCUGGGCAGUCUGUGGUGAAUUCAGUCGCAGCAAAAAGUGCAGCCGAGCCAGGGAGCGGCCUGGCCCGGCCAGAGCCCGGGGCAAGCCCCGCAGGCCCCAUCUCCCGGCCGGGAGCCGCGGCAGGCCCAGCCCAGCCCCUGCCCGGGCCGCAUGGGCUGGGCCGGGGACGGGGGCCCAGCUGGAGCUCAGUUACCUUUCAGAGCCAGCAAACCAAGAGACAAAGAAAUUCCCAGCCUUAGGGCUUAAGGAAUGUGAGAUGCCCUUUGAGUAGCAAGGAUCAAAUGCCUAAAACUGGGAUUUACUGCACCACUGUCGCAAGAAGUGAUACAAACUCAUCAUCUGCAUCUUUGAAUCACCAUCAUCUUUAACAAUCAGGUGCCCACACCUUGACUGACAAACAUCACAUGAAUGAGACCAGGGGAGAACCCUAGUACACACCAAAAAGCUGGAAUCUCACACACCUGGAUGUGCCUGGACUGAAAGAGGAGAGGAAUUAUUCCAAGUGAGAAGCACUGCAGGGAGAUGGAGCUGCUUGGGCACAGCUCAGAGGAGAGGUUCCUUAGGACCCCACAUCACCAUCAGAACAAACCAGGAGUUGACCUGCACACCCAGGACCUGCCUUCACACACACACCUCCCCUGGGAUGGCUCCUCGUGUCCCACAGGGAGCACAGCUCUCUGCACCCUGGUUUGAUCUUGCUUGUGCUGUGCUGCCAGAGAAGUGUGAGCUGUCUCAUUAUUGCCAGGCUGCUCCUGGAGAAAGUGGGGCACAUGUGUUUGUUGGCCAGCUGGUCCCUGUCAGACACAAUGUAAAACACAAGCACUGACCCCGUUUUUCCUCCCUGGGCUCCAGUUUGGGUCUCUCCCAGCGGCCAGCUUUUAUGAAACUUGUAGAAAUCACAUGGUUUUGAAACUCCUCUUCUUUCAAAUGGAGGAAAAUUGCUAAAGCCUUCUCUUACUUUCUCUUAAAACCAUCUCCAGAAAGCUCAAAGUUUGGGCUGUCAGAAGCAUCUUGCUCAAACUGCCCUUUGAAAGAGGGGACUAGUUUGAAAGCAGUAAAUUAAAUCCCCCUUUUCAGGGAAAGCCAGAUAUGAAUAUGUAACCUAGGGCUUCCCCUCAUUUAACCUCAGAUGACACCAGGGUUUGCCUCAAAACCCCUAUAAAACAGAACCAGGGUGCAUUAGAACCUGCUGACCUACAGGAGCAAGAUGUAGAGACAGCACAUGAUGAAAACUUCCCCAAUUUUGCAUCAUUUUUUUCAUUACUUAACUCUGAACCAGAUCAUCCAUUUAAUGAGGCAUCCCAGGGUUUCAAUGUUUUCUUUUGCACUGAGAUUUUUAUUUUAAUUAAUUUCAUGGAAAAUAGAAAUGCUCUAAGAAAAAAAAGCAUUCAUUUUUCACAUGGGAAAUCUCAGAAGACAUUUGCACAUUUUUCUGGUAUCAUGCAGAAACACCAUAGAAAAAUCCUUUCCCUCUUGAUCUUUUUUUCCCUGGAGAGAUGCAUAUGUACAGAGACAUCAUCACAAGACUGACCUCUGAGGGUCUUCUUGUUCUACCAAGAGAUAAUGAGGAGAGAAUGAUUUUUUGCAGGGGUGGAUGGAGUUGUGGGGGACCAACAGAGGGAUCUCACACUCAUUAAUGUCUUUAGGAGGCAAACUCCACUGGAGUUCCAUAGAACUGGGACUGCUUUGUCAGCCUGGAGCUUGUCUCCUCCCACAGCUUGUCCUGAACUGCCAUGUACACCCCAGCACCUCCUCUCUCCACACCUGUCCUGGAAUUACAGGCCCCUAUGAGGGACUCGUUGGGAUUGGCAUGGAUCAAUUGCAAAACUGACAGAAACAAAUCCAUUUGUUAUUCAUGUGGGUUUCACAAGUAUUUCAGGAGAUGCUCCAUUGUAAUUUAGCAUUAGUUAAUGGCUAUUUGGAGCAAACCUGCAGCAUUUGCAAAAGGGAUGGGGACUGUAGCAUCUGAGGUUAGAGGAUGAAAAAUGCAGCUCAAUCAACAAGGAUCAGUUUUAACAUCCAGCACAGAAGCUCCUUCUCUCCAGCAUGAUCUCCACACCCUGGUCAUGCUAUCCUUGGAAACUGUUCCAAACUUUUACAUUAAAAUUGGUGUAGAUGGGAACAUUGUUUGAGAAAUGACCACAGAAGCAGUUUUUCCAAAGCCUUAUGGGAAAACUUGCUUCUUUUCAUA